rnacentral:tRNA from 1 species
GGAGGGGUGCCGGAGCGGCUGAACGGGGCGGUCUCGAAAACCGCUAGGGGCCCCGUGCCCCUCGUGGGUUCGAAUCCCACCCCCUCCGCCA